ACGAAAUUACUGGGGCAUUACCUUAGGGCCUUGUGGUGAUCCUGUUCAAGUAAGUUCGUACCUCUGUGUCCUUUAGCACAAAGGAGACAGGAACCUAAGUCUGGUGGAUGAACUAUGAUCGUGGGAUCAGAGCGUGACUAACGGCUGGAUCAGUUCUUUGGAAUUGUCCUUGGCUGUAAAGGAUCGUUCUCAGUUAGAAUUUCCUUACUGGGUUGGAGCUUAACCGUUAUAGGAU